UAUGGUUCUCAGGUGACACACCCUGGAAUUGGGCUCCCACCUCUCUGGUUACGGGUGCAUCACCCGAGAACCACA
rfam:Myotis brandtii contig235633, whole genome shotgun sequence.